rnacentral:lncRNA from 1 species
CAAAUACCUUCUAUGUUAUUUUGCACUUUUUUACUUUAGUAUUCUAUGAUUUAAAGUAUAUUAAUUUAGUAGCUUGUGGUUUUAUUUUUCUCUUUUUAUUAUACAUUUCACUAAUUUUUUUCAUUAAAUUAGUGACAAAGUUAAAACAAAAGGGUACUGAAAUGAAUAUUUAAAAAACCUAGGUGGGAUAUCUGAAGUUUUUUAUAUAUAAUUUAACGAAAUGUUAACAGAGGAGUUGACGAAAAAAGAAAAAUGAAACCACAAGGUACUAAUCUGAUAUACUUUAAAACACAGGGUAUUAAAGUGAGAAAGUGCGAAACCACAAGAGUGGUAUUUGA